GACGAACGUUGGCGGCGUGCUUAACACAUGCAAGUCGAACGGAAAGGCCCUGCUUUUGUGGGGUGCUCGAGUGGCGAACGGGUGAGUAACACGUGAGUAACCUGCCCUUGACUUUGGGAUAACUUCAGGAAACUGGGGCUAAUACCGGAUAGGAGCUCCUGCUGCAUGGUGGGGGUUGGAAAGUUUCGGCGGUUGGGGAUGGACUCGCGGCUUAUCAGCUUGUUGGUGGGGUAGUGGCUUACCAAGGCUUUGACGGGUAGCCGGCCUGAGAGGGUGACCGGCCAUAUUGGGACUGAGAUACGGCCCAGACUCCUACGGGAGGCAGCAGUGGGGAAUAUUGCACAAUGGGCGGAAGCCUGAUGCAGCAACGCCGCGUGCGGGGUGACGGCCUUCGGGUUGUAAACCGCUUUCGCCUGUGACGAAGCGUGAGUGACGGUAAUGGGUAAAGAAGCACCGGCUAACUACGUGCCAGCAGCCGCGGUGAUACGUAGGGUGCGAGCGUUGUCCGGAUUUAUUGGGCGUAAAGGGCUCGUAGGUGGUUGAUCGCGUCGGAAGUGUAAUCUUGGGGCUUAACCCUGAGCGUGCUUUCGAUACGGGUUGACUUGAGGAAGGUAGGGGAGAAUGGAAUUCCUGGUGGAGCGGUGGAAUGCGCAGAUAUCAGGAGGAACACCAGUGGCGAAGGCGGUUCUCUGGGCCUUUCCUGACGCUGAGGAGCGAAAGCGUGGGGAGCGAACAGGCUUAGAUACCCUGGUAGUCCACGCUGUAAACGGUGGGUACUAGGUGUGGGGUCCAUUCCACGGGUUCCGUGCCGUAGCUAACGCUUUAAGUACCCCGCCUGGGGAGUACGGCCGCAAGGCUAAAACUCAAAGGAAUUGACGGGGCCCCGCACAAGCGGCGGAGCAUGCGGAUUAAUUCGAUGCAACGCGUAGAACCUUACCUGGGUUUGACAUGGAUCGGGAGUGCUCAGAGAUGGGUGUGCCUCUUUUGGGGUCGGUUCACAGGUGGUGCAUGGCUGUCGUCAGCUCGUGUCGUGAGAUGUUGGGUUAAGUCCCGCAACGAGCGCAACCCUUGUUCACUGUUGCCAGCACGUUAUGGUGGGGACUCAGUGGAGACCGCCGGGGUCAACUCGGAGGAAGGUGGGGAUGACGUCAAGUCAUCAUGCCCCUUAUGUCCAGGGCUUCACGCAUGCUACAAUGGCUGGUACAGAGAGUGGCGAGCCUGUGAGGGUGAGCGAAUCUCGGAAAGCCGGUCUCAGUUCGGAUUGGGGUCUGCGACUCGACCUCAUGAAGUCGGAGUCGCUAGUAAUCGCAGAUCAGCAACGCUGCGGCGAAUACGUUCCCGGG
rnacentral:rRNA from 1 species